rnacentral:snRNA from 1 species
AAAUGUGAGAGAAAUCUGAUUGUCACCCCAUUGAUGACUAGAGUUGAUACAUAGAGUUGAUUGAGUAGACCUGACUGGCUAGGUGGGUAUCUCCUUAUCCAUUACUUCUCUGUGUGCAUCACUCCCAAAACUGUGCUCCAUGGAAGACUACCACCCUGAUAAAUGGGGACUAUUUCUCAGUCAAGGAUGUAUGAGCAUCUGCACUGCACUAAAGAAGCUCUCAAGAUCCAUUUGUAGGAGGGCAUAAUGCAGUCAAACUUUGGAGGACUCCAAUGUCCAAGGAAGUGCUUUAAAAAAAAAAGAAAGGAGAAUUCUUUUCUU